UGAUGUGUUUUUAAGGGGGAUGUUCUUGUAACAAAUGCACAUAGAAUUUUUAAAUAUGCAUUGAUUAACAUUCUUGGAGUAGUUAUAUAAUUUGCAACCUUUGUAAACCAUAUAUCAGGAAUUGUCACUAUUGGGAAUCUGAAUCUACUGAUUUUAUCCGUAUGUUUCUCAAUGGGUAUUUUUCGUAACCAACCCUGCAACGCGGGACUCUUCCCUAGUAUAGAUUAAUUCUAAAGUCCUUAGGAAACAGUACUUUGAUGUCAUUGGCUGGAUUUUGUUUUCCUUUUUUCUUUUUGAUAAUUAUACUGGAUAGUGGAUUAUUUUGGUUAAAUUUUUUAUCUGUCGUAUUUUUCUAGAUAGUGUUUUACAUGUGUUUUGAAGUCCCAUUUACCAUCUACGUGUUUUCGCCGGCUCCUUCCACGUACUCCAUAUUCCAAUGGCACCAUCUCUGGAUUCCAAUGGCAACCGACUGUGUAAGCCAAUAAGGAUUAGAUUUCUGUCCAAUGCUUCUUCUUUCGCUUAUUCCUCCACCGCCUAACGUUAAUCUCCACUGGUUUUCUUCUUCAGUUGGCUUUUCCUUUUGCUUAUUCGCUUGAUUUCUUGUGUUGCAUACCUCAUGCCGACCUUCCACUUUCUUUGUCUACGUCCUUAGCUGGGAAACCGUAACUCUCGCCUUCCAACCGUACGGCGAAAUCAAGGAUUGUAGCGUCGUCAUUGACCGUGUCACCGGGAAAGCAAAUGGCUUUUGGUUCCUUCAACUCCAUCUCUAUUACGCUUGUCGUUUCCUUAUCAGUUCAUUUGGGUUCUCUUUGACGUCGAUAGCUACCGCCUUCCACCGCCUGCUGCUUCGUCUUCCUCCUCAAAGCAAUCAAAGUCGGAGUCGCCGAUUUCUUUAUGAUGUCACAGUACCUUCCUGUUUUAGACAGAAGAGAACAAUCGCUUGAGGAAUAAACAAAGUUUCAGAAAUCGAUUCAACACAGAGUUGAUAUCAAGGGAUUAGAAAACGUUGAUAACCAGAAUGACUUGGUACAUGGAUGGGGUUUCGAUUUUGCACUUAGAAGAUGUGUACAUGUCAGUUUUCUUCACAAAUUGUAGAUUUUACUGUUUAAAAUAGAUGGAAAGUUCAUUUGUAUGCUCUAUGAGAUUACAAAAAAAGGAACCCACUUCAAGGUCUGCAUACCAGUUUGUCACACAAAAGUCUGCCUUCUUUGAUGCGUAGUGUCAUUUUGAUGGUAUGUUUUGACCUUUUGUCACUAUGAAUAACGGAUUUUAUUUGGAAAAAUUGGAAGUUUUACUCUUGUAAUUUGAAUACAGGCCGUUUCUUCUAAUCAUAGGAUACCAUUGAGAAGUAGUGACUAUUUAAUUGUGCUGUUGCCUGAUCCUGAUGCAUUAAAAAUGUAGUGGACUUUAGACUGCUACAAUGGCAAAUUGUUCUGUUUAUUUCUUCCUUCAUUUUAAGAUGCAUAUAGUCCUUACGAACAAUGAUUUUUGGACCUUGACUUUUUUGGCUACCAAGUUUGGUCGGAUUUUCAUUUA